UGAGUAAUACGUGAGUAACCUGCCUUUAACUCUGGGAUAAGCCUUGGAAACGGGGUCUAAUACCGUGAUACGACCAACCCUCGCAUGGGGUGUUGGUGGAAAGGGAUUUUGUACUGGUUUUAGAUGGGCUCACGGCCUAUCAGCUUGUUGGUGAGGUAACGGCUCACCAAGGCGACGACGGGUAGCCGGCCUGAGAGGGUGACCGGCCACACUGGGACUGAGACACGGCCCAGACUCCUACGGGAGGCAGCAGUGGGGAAUAUUGCACAAUGGGCGCAAGCCUGAUGCAGCGACGCCGCGUGAGGGAUGACGGCCUUCGGGUUGUAAACCUCUUUCAGCAGGGGAGAAGCGAAAGUGACGGUACCUGCAGAAGAAGCGCCGGCUAACUACGUGCCAGCAGCCGCGGUAAUACGUAGGGCGCGAGCGUUGUCCGGAAUUAUUGGGCGUAAAGAGCUUGUAGGCGGUUUGUCGCGUCUGCUGUGAAAGCCCGGGGCUUAACCCCGGGUUUGCAGUGGGUACGGGCAGACUAGAGUGCAGUAGGGGAGACUGGAAUUCCUGGUGUAGCGGUGAAAUGCGCAGAUAUCAGGAGGAACACCAAUGGCGAAGGCAGGUCUCUGGGCUGUAACUGACGCUGAGAAGCGAAAGCAUGGGGAGCAAACAGGAUUAGAUACCCUGGUAGUCCAUGCCGUAAACGUUGGGCACUAGGUGUGGGGAACAUUCCACGUUUUCCGCGCCGUAGCUAACGCAUUAAGUGCCCCGCCUGGGGAGUACGGCCGCAAGGCUAAAACUCAAAGAAAUUGACGGGGGCCCGCACAAGCGGCGGAGCAUGCGGAUUAAUUCGAUGCAACGCGAAGAACCUUACCAAGGCUUGACAUAUACUAGACCGCCUCAGAGAUGGGGUUUCCCUUCGGGGCUGGUAUACAGGUGGUGCAUGGUUGUCGUCAGCUCGUGUCGUGAGAUGUUGGGUUAAGUCCCGCAACGAGCGCAACCCUCGUUCUAUGUUGCCAGCACGUAAUGGUGGGGACUCAUAGGAGACUGCCGGGGUUAACUCGGAGGAAGGUGGGGAUGACGUCAAAUCAUCAUGCCCCUUAUGUCUUGGGCUUCACGCAUGCUACAAUGGCCGGUACAAAGGGUUGCGAUACUGUGAGGUUGAGCUAAUCCCAAAAAGCCGGUCUCAGUUCGGAUUGGGGUCUGCAACUCGACCCCAUGAAGUCGGAGUCGCUAGUAAUCGCAGAUCAGCAACGCUGCGGUGAAUACGUUCCCGGGCCUUGUACACACCGCCCGUCAAGUCACGAAAGUUGGUAACACCCGAAGCCGAUGGCCUAA
rnacentral:rRNA from 1 species